AGAGAGAGACAUGCGCGCAUAUCAAUAAGCGGAGGAAAAGAAACUAACAAGGAUUCCCCUAGUAACGGCGAGUGAAGCGGGAAGAGCUCAAAUUUGAAAUCUUAAAGGGUUUCCCUUUACGAAUUGUAGUUUAAAGAAGUGUUUUCUGUUGAGGUUUUGGUAAAAGUUCUUUGGAAUAGGACAUCAUAGAGGGUGAGAAUCCCGUAUUUGACCUUUACUUUCAACUUUGUGAUACACUUUCAAAGAGUCGGAUUGUUUGGGAAUGCAGUCCAAAAUGGGUGGUAAAUUUCAUCUAAAGCUAAAUAUUGGCGAGAGACCGAUAGCGAACAAGUACCGUGAGGGAAAGAUGAAAAGAACUUUGAAAAGAGAGUUAAACAGUACGUGAAAUUGUCAAAAGGGAAGCGUUUGACACCAGUGUUGUUUUUCUGAAAAUCAAUUAAAGAACUGUUUAUGCUAAGCUUGUUUAGACUUUAUCAGCUAUCUGUUUAGUUUUGAGCUUUUCUUUAAUGCACUUUUCAGUUAACAAGUCAACAUCAAUUUCUUUUGCUGUAAAAAAGCUUGAGGAAGGUGGCUUGAGAUUCGUCUUAAGUGUUUAUAGCCUCUUGCCUAUGCAGUCGGAGAGAUUGAGGUCUGCAGCGUAGAUCCUUCGGGGCUAAAUGCAUUUGUGCUAAGUUAUAGCAUUUUAUAGACAACUUGUUGACUAUGAUUUGUCUUGUAGCUUACUCGCUUAUGUUAUUUUACCUACGCUUAGGAUGUUGACGCAUGAGAUAUACGC
rnacentral:rRNA from 1 species